CCCUUAGAUGUUCUGGGCCGCACGCGCGCUACACUGAUGCAUUCAACGAGUUUCUUCCUGGUCCGAGAGGAAUGGGUAACCUUUUGAAAGUGCAUCGUGAUAGGGAUAGACUAUUGCAAUUAUUGGUCUUCAACGAGGAAUUCCUAGUAGACGUAGUUCAUCAGACUGCAUCGAUUACGUCCCUGCCCUUUGUACACACCGCCCGUCGCUCCUACCGAUUGAAUGCUCAGGUGAGCCAUUCGGACUUUCAUCAUGCUGGUUUCCAGUUUUGAUGAAGGAAAGUCUUGCGAACCUUCUCAUUUAGAGGAAGGAGAAGUCGUAACA
rnacentral:rRNA from 1 species